rnacentral:misc_RNA from 1 species
CAACCCACAGUAUCUACACCCCCAAACUACAACUUUCUUCCCACAAAAAUUUCAUCUUGGCCAUAAAAUAUCACAUUGCACAUUUGUCACGCCCAACCCAGCCAGCCUAUCCAAUGACCUUCCUGGCUGGGACUCGAGAUCCAUUUUUAUAUUUCUCCGUUGAAAACUUACUUUUCAGGCCUUAUUCAUUAUCUUAGUCACAAUUCAACCCACAAAUUUCCAACACAGGGCCAUCUUUCGACACGAAUGGGU